GACGAACGCUGGCGGCGUGCUUAACACAUGCAAGUCGAACGGAAAGGCCCUGCUUUUGUGGGGUGCUCGAGUGGCGAACGGGUGAGUAACACGUGAGUAACCUGCCCUUGACUUUGGGAUAACUUCAGGAAACUGGGGCUAAUACCGGAUAGGAGCUCCUGCUGCAUGGUGGGGGUUGGAAAGUUUCGGCGGUUGGGGAUGGACUCGCGGCUUAUCGGCUUGUUGGUGGGGUAGUGGCUUACCAAGGCUUUGACGGGUAGCCGGCCUGAGAGGGUGACCGGCCACAUUGGGACUGAGAUACGGCCCAGAAUCCUACGGGAGGCAGCAGUGGGGAAUAUUGCACAAUGGGCGGAAGCGUGAUGCAGCAACGCCGCGUGCGGGAUGACGGCCUUCGGGUUGUAAACAGCUUUCGCCUGUGACGAAGCGUGAGUGACGGUAAUGGGUAAAGAAGCACCGGCUAACUACGUG
rnacentral:rRNA from 1 species